rnacentral:rRNA from 2 species
GGGUUGUGAGGUUAAGCGACUAAGCGUACACGGUGGAUGCCCUGGCAGUCAGAGGCGAUGAAGGACGUGCUAAUCUGCGAUAAGCGCCGGUAAGGUGAUAUGAACCGUUAUAACCGGCGAUUUCCGAAUGGGGAAACCCAGUGUGAUUCGUCACACUAUCAUUAACUGAAUCCAUAGGUUAAUGAGGCGAACCGGGGGAACUGAAACAUCUAAGUACCCCGAGGAAAAGAAAUCAACCGAGAUUCCCCCAGUAGCGGCGAGCGAACGGGGAGGAGCCCAGAGCCUGAAUCAGCAUGUGUGUUAGUGGAAGCGUCUGGAAAGGCGCGCGAUACAGGGUGACAGCCCCGUACACAAAAGCGCAUGUGCUGUGAGCUCGAUGAGUAGGGCGGGACACGUGGUAUCCUGUCUGAAUAUGGGGGGACCAUCCUCCAAGGCUAAAUACUCCUGACUGACCGAUAGUGAACCAGUACCGUGAGGGAAAGGCGAAAAGAACCCCGGCGAGGGGAGUGAAAAAGAA